AUUGAACGCUGGCGGCAGGCCUAACACAUGCAAGUCGAACGGAGUGGCGGACGGGUGAGUAAUGUCUGGGAAACUGCCUGAUGGAGGGGGAUAACUACUGGAAACGGGCGCUAAUACCGCAUACUAUCAGAUUAGCCUAGGUCGGAUUAGCUAGUUGGAGGGGUAAAGGCCUACCAAGGCGACGAUCCGUAACUGGUCUGCGAGGAUGAUCAGUCACACUGGAACUGAGACACGGUCCAGACUCCUACGGGAGGCAGCAGUGGGGAAUACUGGACAAUGGGCGAAAGCCUGAGCCAGCCAUGCCGCGUGGGUGAAGAAGGUCUUCGGAUUGUAAAGCACUUUAAGUUGGGAGGCGUUACCAACAGAAUAAGCACCGGCUAACUUCGUGCCAGCAGCCGCGGUAAUUC
rnacentral:rRNA from 1 species